rnacentral:ncRNA from 1 species
CCUUGACAGCGUAAGCUGACAAUAGCCAAGACAAGGAGAAUAACAUG